rnacentral:rRNA from 1 species
AGUGAUUACUUAAACGGCCGCGGUACCCUAACCGUGCAAAGGUAGCACAAUUACUUGUCCUUUAAAUGAGGACUAGAAUGAACGACACCACGAGGGUUGUACUGUCUCCUUACCCCAAUCAGUGAAACUGACCUCCCCGUGAAAAGGCGGGAAUUAAAAUACUAGACGAGAAGACCCCAUGGAGCUUUAGACAUCAAGCAAAUUCAAGCCACCACCUAUUUAGCCCAAAAUUUAUGUUUCUAAGUCUUUGGUUGGGGCGACCCUGGAGUAAAAACUAACCUCCACACCGAAUGGACACCUCCUUAUCUAAGAGGGACACCUCUAAGAAACAGUAACACUGACGCACACUGAUCCGGAAUCCGAUCAACGAACCAAGUUACCCUGGGGAUAACAGCGCCAUCUACCUAAAGAGUCCAUAUCGACAGGUAGGUUUACGACCUCGAUGUUGGAUCAGGGUAUCCUAGUGGUGCAGCCGCUACACAAGGUUC